CCUAGGGGAGGCAGCAGUAGGGAAUAUUGGGCAAUGGGCGCAAGCCUGACCCAGCGACGCCGCGUGAGGGAUGAAGGCCUUCGGAUUGUAAACCUCUUUCAGUAGGGAAGAAGCGAAAGUGACGGUACCUAAAGAAGAAGCACCGGCUAACUAUGUGCCAGCAGCCGCGGUAAU
rnacentral:rRNA from 1 species